CUCGAUUAAAACUAUACAAGACGUGUUCAAAACCGUUAAAGAUUUAUCCAUUUCUCCUCUUGACACAUGUCUAAAACAUAAGAACUAAUUCUAUUGCCUAAUUAAACAAAAGGAGCACACUUGAAACAACCCCUUCAUGCUUUAGAUAUCUUCCACCAGUGCAGCCAACCUGCUUUGCUGAGCUCUUUGGGAUGUUAUCUGUCCCAAGAUUGCCUUGUUCUGUAUAGAGCAAGUGGAAGAAGUUAGGCGAGGCAGUCGUCUGCUGUUUUUACUUUUUACCAGGGAGUUCGACGAGUGGUGGUUUGGUUGAAUAUGGAGGGCUUGGGCCAUGCUAAUUACAACUACGACGGGAACAAGGGUGUGCUUUUGUCAAAAUGGUAAUCAUACUUCCAUGAUCUAUCAAGGAAAAAAACGGAGAAGUGGAAGUAGAAGUUACACAAAACAUUCAAAAGUUGCACUCACUGAACAUAUAAAAAAUGGACCUGGCAUGCUGUUGACAAACUUGGAUAGAUGAUGCAAUGAUGGCACCAGAAAAAUCUUUGCGGUCAUGGUCCAAUCUGUUAAACUCCUCCGUUUUCUUGAUUGAUGGGUUCAAAUCAAUUGAAGAUUAUGACAAACUUUGCUCGCUCCCCAAGAAAAUCAACAAAAAUUUGGCCGCCCUUUAAGAAGGAAAAAACUUAUCACCAUCUUUUCGAAUGAAUCUUUGAUCAAAUCAACUUAAAAAGUUUUCUUUCCAGGGUAACUCUUGG
rnacentral:lncRNA from 1 species